rnacentral:rRNA from 1 species
CGCUGAAAAUUUUAUCAAUCGCGUGCUUGCCUUAGUAGUGGCGAAUGAACCGGCAUUAAGUCCAAAUUCGAAAUCUGCCAGCAAUGGCCGAGUUGUAAUUUGAAGAUGGUAAUUCUGUAGAGAGUCUUUGCUCAAGUUUCCUGGAAUGGAACGCCGUGGAGGGUGACAGCCCCGUGAGCCACUGACUUAAUACGUGUAGAGUACUAUCAAAGAGUCGAGUUGUUUGGGAAUGCAGCUCAAAUCUCGUGGUAAGUGGCACGAAAGACUAAAUAUUGGUGAGAGACCGAUAGCGAACAAGUACUGUGAAGGAAAGAUGAAAAGCACUUUGAAAAGAGAGUGAAAUAGUACGUGAAAUUUUUUUAUAUUUUUUUGAUAUGAAACUAGACACAGAGUCUUGAGUUCUGCAGUCCCUCGGGGUUUGUUUUUUCUCUUGAUUCUACACCAGCAUCAGUUUUGGCAGGAGGAUAAACAGUGAGAAAUGUAGCUACUUUUGUAGUGUUAUAGUCUUACUGCAUACUCUUAGCCGGGACUGAGGUCAGCCUUUGUAGGAUGCUGGGGUAAUGGUUUUAUAUCACCCGUCUUGAACGCGGGACCCCUAAUUGCGGCAUUCACUUAAACCUUUGUCGGGGACUAAUAAAAGAAACUUGAGGUUGGGAAUGCACAUCACAUCUCGGGGAAGGUGUACAAACGACUCAAGUUGUCAUCUCCCACAACUACCAGUGAUGUGAAACACAUCACACCUUUUUCAAAAGAGAUAAGAAAGGUCCUGUACUUUUUCACACCAAGGAUUCAACAUCGGCACUGAACCUUGGUUUUGGCGUAUCCCCCGGGUUUAUUGAUCUAGAUCCACACACCGCUUAGUAUUUGGCGUUGAUAACAGGGACAAAGGCAUCUUUAUAUGGUUAUGCUACCGGACACAUGCCGGACGUAGUCAGCUUCUAGGCUGAACGAAUUAUAUACCGCGGU